GCAUUUAGAAGCACCCAAACUUUCAACAACAUUUCAAGCAUUCACCACAGUAUGUCACUAUCCACCGUCGUCUACCAUAGCUCGCCGUUGCUGUAUAUCAUCAUAGAUAGAUUUUUGAGCCCGAAAAAAUCCCAUGGUCGUUUAGAUGAAGCUAGCAUGACGAACCAAAGUGAACAACUAACUCUAUGGCGAACAAGAUCGACCACUGUUCGUGCUCGACAUACACUAUCACACCAGCCCAAUGAAGGUUAGAGUCAACCCUGAGCAGCAGUACUGAAGCUGCUAAUAUACCAAGCCCACCGCAAAGCCUAGUAAAAAAUGAGUACUAGCCUUCUCGUAAUAAUAGGCGCAAUCAACGGGGCCAAACCUAUACAAUGCCGACAGAACAGAGGCUUCAAGGAUUUUUAAAUUUUAUAACAUCGAAACACCAAACAAGAUACGAGGAAAUUCAACAUCGGCCAAUUCCAGUCUGUAAAUGUACACGAAUCGCUCGAAGCAAUAAAGUCUUUUGACGAAGACGCAAUUCGGCUACUAGCAAACAAGAGGAGCAACCAUCUUCCACUGUGGAUGAACAACUUCAUUACAUUGAGGCUCGCCUAGAAACAAUGAGAGCUAACAUCUCAAGCAUCGUCACCAUCUUGCAAAGCGAUCACUUCUAUUGCCCUCCGGCCUAUUAAAUAUGCACGGGAUUACACUUUUCUCCACUAUUGUUACUCUUUUUGCAUAUUAAGGGCAAUGUGGGCUAAGUAGGGGGAUCAUGCCAUACUUUUUUCUUUGCAUGUGAUUUGCUAAGAAUAAUUUCUUAAUUUGUUUCGGAAAUAAACCUCUACUUCUUAUGUUUAGUUUAUUUAAAUAAGUGGGUGAAUCAUGAAUAACGUAGAAUUGAAAAUGUUAUGCCUUAGUCAAUAUUUCAUGAAAAUUGUUUGUUUUUUUUAACUUGCCUAAUGAAAGCACUUGUUUUAAAUAAA